UUUCGAUAGCGUAAAAGUUAACUCAAAUUUCUAUGGAGUUGGAACGUUAGUCUACGUUUGACGCUAGAGGCGCUGUUCCAACUCCACACAAAUUUAUGUUAACUUUUACGCUAUCGA
rnacentral:pre_miRNA from 9 species